rnacentral:rRNA from 1 species
AUUGAACGCUGGCGGCAGGCCUAACACAUGCAAGUCGAACGAGUGGCGGACGGGUGAGUAAUAUCUGGGAAACUGCCCGAUGGAGGGGGAUAACUACUGGAAACGGUAGCUAAUACCGCAUACCAUCGGAUGUGCCCACAUGGGAUUAGCUAGUAGGUGGGGUAAUGGCUCACCUAGGCGACGAUCCCUAGCUGGUCUGAGAGGAUGACCAGCCACACUGGAACUGAGACACGGUCCAGACUCCUACGGGAGGCAGCAGUGGGGAAUAUUGCACAAUGGGCGCAAGCCUGAUGCAGCCAUGCCGCGUGUAUGAAGAAGGCCUUCGGGUUGUAAAGUACUUUCAGCGAGGAGGCGUUACUCGCAGAAGAAGCACCGGCUAACUCCGUGCCAGCAGCCGCGGUAAUAC